AUUGCGAGGGUCAGGUACAGGUUGAGCAGUGUGGCAUGGGCCUGAGGUCUUCGGACCAAUCGGGCAGCGAGAUUGGGUACUUUUGAACUUAUCGUCAGUUGACGCAUGCAUACAGUAGCUGUAGUGUUUAUUUUCAGUACAUCCUUAUCUGUUUAUUGUAGCUACUGUUUUAUUUACCUGCAUUUAUACUUGUCAGCUCCUUACUUAUCAGCAUCUUUACUUACCAGCACUUAUGUCUAUCUAGUUCUCCGUGUUGUUGUAUAGCUCUCUUCCUGAUCCGGUGAGUACUCCUCGCCUUCUUCGGCUUGCGGUACCCACUGGGAGGGGAGACAUGUUUACAUGUUCUCACCUCCCCCACCAUUUUUCAGGUAUCGCGGGCGAUGAGUAGUGGGACGAGACGUGAGGUACGUGUGUAGCGGUCGAUAGAGCUUCCGACCCAGGUUAUUUCGAUUUAGUUAUUAUCCUUGGUAUUUCUGUUGAUAUAUAGUUUAGUUGGUUUAUGUGGUUCAGUAUUUAUUUACAUUUGAAAAUGUGGAUUUCUGGAUUUUGUAAAAUAAAAUGUUUUCCUACCCCUCGUGGUAGCGUUUUUAAAAGAAUAAAAGUUUCUGUGUAGGAAACAGUUUUCAAAAAUUUUUUUUGUGGAUUUCUGUUUAAAUCUUGAAUGUAAAAUUGUGAUGUGAAUGGUGAAUGUAUGAAUGUAUAGUUAUCUUUAUACUCAUCUGGUUGUGGUUGUAUCCUGGUUGUACUGUGUAUUUGACCGACGCCGUGCAAAUACAGGGGAGACUCUGUCCGUGUGAACAGUGGAUUCCCUGUAUUUGUGGCGGAUCUGGCAUACUCUGGGGUCAGGUUUUCAAAAAAAAAAUUUCAGACGCUUUUCCGCUUUGUUUUAAACUGAAAAGGGACCCCGGGGCGUGACAAGAUGUUCCUUUCUUUGCAAUUAAACAACAUCCACU
rnacentral:lncRNA from 1 species